AGCUUUGCGCAGUGGCAGUAUCGUAGCCAAUGAGGUUUAUCCGAGGCGCGAUUAUUGCUAAUUAAAGAAUCAGUUUUACCUCAUUGCUUUCUGCUCCUCCUCCAUCUGUUCUCUGACUUGCUGUAGUUCCUUCAGUAGU